GUGCCAGCAGCCGCGGUAAUACGGAGGGUGCAAGCGUUAAUCGGAAUUACUGGGCGUAAAGCGCACGCAGGCGGUUUGUUAAGUCAGAUGUGAAAUCCCCGGGCUCAACCUGGGGACUGCAUCUGAUACCUGGCAAGCUUGAGUCUCGUACAGGGGGGGUAGAAUUCCCAGGGUAGGGGUGGAAAUGAGUAGAGAUCGGGAGGAAUACCGGUGGCGAAGGGCGGCCCCCCUGGAGGAAGACGGACGCCUCAGGGGCGAAAGCGUGGGGAGCAAACAGGAUUAGAUACCUGGUAGUCC
rnacentral:rRNA from 1 species